rnacentral:SRP_RNA from 1 species
GCCGGGCGUGGUGGCGGGCGCCUGUAGUCCCAGCUACUCGGGAGGCUGAGACAGGAGAAUCGCUUGAAUCCGGGAGGCGGAGCUUACAGUGAGCCGAGAUCGCGCCACUGCACUCCAGCCUGGGUGAUAGAGUGAGACUCUGUCUCAG